rnacentral:tRNA from 1 species
ACUAAAAUAGCAAAAUAGUAUUGCAAAAGGCCUAAGCCCUUCAGUUAUAGGUGCAAGUCCUAUUUUUAGUG